CCUGCCCCUAGAGGCAUUGGGGAGGGUUGCUAUGACACAUAUAUACAUCAGUAGGUAGCAGAGAGAAAAGAGGCUAUGUCUACACUCAGUGUUCUAACCUAUAAACAUCUGCAUGAUGUUUUUCUAACAUU